AUGCUUGUGUGUUUACCAUGUUGUUUGCUUCUUUUCGGUUUGCUUCUAUCGUUAGCUUCGGUUUCAUUCCGGAGUUGUGAGGAUUCGUUCGACUACGUCCGUUUGUCUUCUUCAUGGACUCGUUCUUAUUCCUUGCGGGAUCUCAAGCAAGAUGACCAUUACCCUCGAUAUCACUUCUAUCUUUGCUUGCUAGCUGCUUCGUUCUAUCGCUAUGCUGCGCUACCUAUCACUUGUCUGUCAAAGCCUCCCAUAUUGCCAUGUCAGCCUCUAACAUUUGCACCCUUUCUAGAAAACCGUUGCUUGGCUAUGUUACCGCUUUGUUCAGCCCCUCUUAUAGCGUUGUUAGUUGCAGGUGAAGUUGAAGGUUGCUCCAUGUUGGACAGGAUUAUGUUGGGAUAUCACAAUAUCUCUUAUUUAACUAAUGCAUCUAUAUACUUGGUAAAGGGUGGAAGGCUCGGCCUUAUGCCUGGUGUUUUGUUCCACUCUUGCCGCCCUAGUUUCCAUCAUACUGGUGUUAUGUUCCUUGAUUUUGUGUUCCUUACGCGGUUGGGUGAUUUAUGGGACCCCUUGAUAGUUCGCUUUGAAUAA
rnacentral:rRNA from 1 species